rnacentral:rRNA from 1 species
GAUGAACGCUGGCGGCGUGCCUAAUACAUGCAAGUCGAGCGAACAGACGAGGAGCUUUCUCCUCUGACGGUAGCGGCGGACGGGUGAGUAACACGUGGAUAACCUACCUCUAAGACUUGGAUAACAUCGGGAGACCGGAUCUAAUACCGGAUAAUAUAUUGAACCGGUUGGUUCAAUCGUUAAAGACGCUUUUUGUGUCUGUUAUAGCUGAAUCCGUGGCGCAUUAUCUAGUUGGUAAGGUAACGGCUUACCAAGGCUACGAUGCGUAGCCGACCUGAGAGGGUGAACGGCCACACUGGAACUGAGACACGGUCCAGACUCCUACGGGAGGCAGCAGUAGGGAAUCUUCCGCAAUGGGCGAAAGCCUGACGGAGCAACGCCGCGUGAGUGAUGAAGGUCUUCGGAUCGUAAAACGCUGUUAUUAGGGAAGAACAAAAGUGUAAGUAACUAUGCUCGUCUUGACGGUACCUAAAGAAAAAGCCACGGCUAACUACGUG